GGAUAGAGAGGGCCUUGAGGUGAUUGACGAGGGAAUGGAUCCUCCAAGGUAUUUCAAAAAUAUUGUAGGACGCUAUGUAUAGCUGGACAUCAUCCAUCAUAAGCUGGACAAUCACGCAUACAUGUUAAAAUAUUAGAAAAAAAAAUUUAUAAAUCUCAAGAGGUAUUUGGAUAAUUUAGACAGAACGUGCACAUCCGUCUAUCUUAUGAUGGAUGGCACCUAACAUACACACCAGCAUCCUACGGUACUUUUUGAGUACCGCAGAGAAUUCCAUUUUGAUUGGUGGAUGAUGGAGAGGAGAUAGAAGGUAUGAAGAGGUACACUAAAGAGUUAAGAAAAAUGGCAAAGA
rnacentral:lncRNA from 1 species